rnacentral:lncRNA from 1 species
AGAAGUUGUCCAGGGCUCCCUGAGGGAGGCCAGCACAAGAGCUCUGCCAUAAAAGGACAUUGGACAGAAGUGAAGAGUCCAAUCAGAAACUCUUUUUGAGAGACUGAACGCAAAGCAUUCAGAGAGUCAGCAGGCUGGAGAGGCCAAGACACACACACGAAGAAGGCAGGACACUCUUCUCCUCCUGCGGUUGGACUCCAGGCUCUAUGACCUUCAAACUCCAGGACUUACACCAGUUGCCCCUGGGCACUCAGGACUUCUGCUUCAGACUGACAGUUGCAGGACAGUGCAGCAUUUUAUUUUAAAGAUACCCCACAACGUAGGUGGCCAGUCCUGCUGCAGGUGCGGUUUCAAGCCUUUGGAGUUUGACCUUCUAGUCCAAGGUCAUUACAGCUGCAGGCAGAGGCUCCCGCGGGGAAAAGAGCAUUUCCUGGGACGCUGGAACUAAAUGAAUGGCCCACUCUCCAGUUCAGCCCUUGCCUCCUUCCCGACACAUAAAGUUCAAGAGCCACGGUCCUGAGUGCAUAGGAACAGCCCCAUCACCCUUCUCCCUCUGGGCAAGCUAGGAGCAGCGGUGCGAGGCUCCAUUUCUUCUUCUCUGCCUCCUGGACCUCAGCCACCUCUGCUCAGGCACAGGCCAGCUGCCCAGGCGUCCUCAUCUGGCGACCAGCUCUGACCGCAGCCCUGGUCUGCUCUCGGGGUCGGGCCCACACCCCUCUUCUUCCUCCUCUUCCUCCCAAGGCCUGGGCUCGGGUCCCUCUUCUCACCUUUCCCUUUCUUGCGUUGCAACCGUAACUUGGGAAAACCCUUCUUGAUCUUCCUCUCUCACCUCCUUUCAAACACAUGCUUGCAGGCUUUUUCCCGAUCUCAUCCUUAGGGCAGAUACGCUCCCUUGAUUCUGAGGUCUUUGAACUUGCUGUGAAGCCACACUACCUGCGUCCCAGGGUCUCCAGCUUGCAGAUGGACUGUGGUGGGACUUCUCAGUCACCAAGAUUGAGAGCUGUACUAGCCUGGCAUGCAGACAGCAGCUUUAGAAUCAGAUCUGCCUUCUGGCGGCUUCCCACCUAGGAGCCAUGGGACCUUUGUGAAGUCACCAAUUGUGCUGUGGAUGCUUCAUUUGUGAAGGAGAACAGGACUGCCUUGUGAAAUUACGGAUGGUGCUACUAAAACAUAUCAAUAAUUUGAAUUUCACUUUUGUGGAUGCUUUAAACAUCAUAGUCAUUAGAAGGUGGAUCUGGCUGAUUGUACUUUAAGUUUUCAGUUUGAGCUGGAGCUUUGUAUUAUAACAGGAGGGUACUGGACAAGAACAACACAAUAAGAUAGGGACCCUGUCCCAGAGAUGACUACAUUGAAGUUCAGAGAGUUUAAGUAACUUGCCCAAAGUCACAUCGCUAGUGAAUAGCAAAACGAGGAUUCAAGCCUAGGCCUGCCUAUUUUCAAAGUUUAUGGAAGGAAUUAAAACAUUUCUUAGUCUAAUUUUCUCGGAGUUUUGUUCUGCUUUGUUUUGUUUUGUUUGGCUUACUUUCUUCAUCAGCCUAAUACCUGCUUCAAGUCUAAGUGAAGCUUUCACCUCUGCCUGGAAGUCUUCCCUGUCCCUGUAGGCUGUCAGGUGGCCUUCUCCCAGCCCCCAUAGCAUCCAGCAUAGAAGCUGAUCACAGCACUUACCACCCAGUGAAAAGUGUGGGCACAGUCCUGUCGGCCCCUUCCUCCUAGACUGUGCACCCUUGGGCAGCAUGCUUUGCUUCCACAACACUUGCUACUUAGCAGGGGCUCAGGGCAAAUGUGUGGACUUGAGCUGCCAAAUUGAAGCCAUAGGUCAAUAUUAGAACUAAACACUAGUGCUAAAGUGAAAACUUUAAGAUGCACAUAGACCAGUAAUCCCCAAAUGUGUUUGCUGAGGAGUGUGUGUGUGUGUGUGUGUGUGUGUGUGUGUGUGUGUGAAGAGACUGUGUACCACUGGCUUUUUCUCUCCUGUCAUACUUUCACUCCUGAUGGACUAGGCCUAUGGAGUGUUCAUUUUUCUCCCUGAACAUUAGACAUCUCUCUGCUGCCUUUAAAUAAAAUUCCUCAUUUUACCUCUCCUCUUCUUUUCUUUAUUUCCUUUGCUUCAGACAAGAUAUGAGCCCUUAACUCACCAUAAUUAACCUCACAAUGGGCUACUGUUUGUUUCAUAUUGGAGACCACAAGAUGGAUCAGAUAAUAGUCCAAUAUUUUUGGACUACAAUUUCCAAUAUUAUUCCAAUAUUGCUGGAAUAUUAUUCCAGUAUCAUCUACUAUUUUCCCGAUAUUAUUAUUGGAAAAUAAUAGCAUAGCUAUUAUAUAGAAUAUUUACCCUGUGCCAGGGACUGUUUCAAGCACUUUACUUACAUUAACUCAUUUAAUCUUCACAACAACUUUAUGAGAUUCAUACUAUUAGUAUCAACAUUUUACAGAUGAGGAAACUGAGGUACAGAUGGGAAACUUGCUCAAGUUCACACAGCAAUUAAGUGAUCAAGUCCAAGAGCAAAACCAGGCAGGCUGGCUCCAGAGCUCACGAUAGUCCACCACUGCUUUCCACCAUCACUACGGAAUCAAGUCCAUGAGGAUACUCACCUUAUGUCAGUUGCCUAAGUUGGAAAUUAUAGAAUCUUCAAAUUGGAAGGGACGUUAUCAUCCAAGAUUUCAACUUUCUACUCACUGCAAAAUCCCUUCUGGAACUUCCCAGAUUGAUGAAUUUUCAUCAGCUCUGCUUGAGUACUCCCAGUGACUUGGAAAAAAAACACUGUAAUAUGGAUAUGAAAUAUAAACUGUUCAUGGAUAAAUUAUUGCAUAAUAAAAACAUGCCUAAUGGCUACACUCCCCUAA